GUGAACGCUGGCGGUAGGCCUAACCCAUGCCAGUCGCACGGCAGCACAGUAAGAGCUUGCUCUUACGGGUGGCGAGUGGCGGACGGGUGAGGAAUACAUCGGAAUCUACUUUUUCGUGGGGGAUAACGUAGGGAAACUUACGCUAAUACCGCAUACGACCUACGGGUGAAAGCAGGGGAUCUUCGGACCUUGCGCGAUUGAAUGAGCCGAUGUCGGAUUAGCUAGUUGGCGGGGUAAAGGCCCACCAAGGCGACGAUCCGUAGCUGGUCUGAGAGGAUGAUCAGCCACACUGGAACUGAGACACGGUCCAGACUCCUACGGGAGGCAGCAGUGGGGAAUAUUGGACAAUGGGCGCAAGCCUGAUCUAGCCAUACCGCGUGGGUGAAGAAGGCCUUCGGGUUGUAAAGCCCUUUUGUUGGGAAAGAAAAGCAGCAGGUUAAUACCCCGCUGUUCUGACGGUACCCAAAGAAUAAGCACCGGCUAACUUCGUG
rnacentral:rRNA from 1 species